GUGAAUGAAGAAGGCCGAAAGUUGUAAAAUUCUUGUGCAGAUGAAUAAUAAACAUACGGAAGGAAUGCCUAUGACAUGACGGUAAUCAUGCCAAUAAGCCCCGGCUAAUUACAUGCCACCAGCCGCAGUAACACGUAAGGGGCGAGCGUGGUUCGGAAUUAUCGGGCGUACAGGGUAUGUAAGGCGGUUAGGUAAGCCUGGUGUGAAAUCUACGAAGCUCACUCGUAAACUGCAUGGGGUACUGCUUGACUUGAAUCACGGAGGGGAACCGGAAUACCAAGUGUAGGGGUGGAAUCUGUAAAUAUUGGGAAGAACACCGGUGGCGAAGGCAGGGUAUCAGGCCGAUGAUAGACGCCGAUAUACGAAGGUGCGGGGAACCAAACACGAUUACAUACCCGGUAGUCGCACAGUAAACGAGGUACACUAGGUGUCUGGGCAA
rnacentral:rRNA from 1 species